UACAGAGGUCUCGAGCGUUAGGCGGAAUCACUGGGCUUAAAGCGUGUGUAGGCGGAUCGGUAAGUACCUUGUGAAAUCCCACAGCUUAACUGUGGAACUGCUUGGUAUACUGCCAGUCUUGAGCCAGCUAGGGGCUACCGGAACAAAUGGUGGAGCGGUGAAAUGCGUAGAUAUCAGUUGGAACGCCAAUGGUGAAAACAGGUAGCUGGGGCUGUGCUGACGCUGAGACACGAAAGCCAGGGGAGCAAACGGG
rnacentral:rRNA from 1 species